UGGGGAAUAUUGGACAAUGGGCGCAAGCCUGAUCCAGCAAUGCCGCGUGUGUGAAGAAGGCCUUCGGGUUGUAAAGCACUUUUAUCAGGAGCGAAACGCUGUCGGCUAAUACCCGGCGGAACUGACGGUACCUGAGGAAUAAGCACCGGCUAACUUCGUGCCAGCAGCCGCGGUAAUACGAAGGGUGCAAGCGUUAAUCGGAAUUACCGGGCGUAAAGCGUGCGUAGGCGGUUUCUUAAGUCUGCUGUGAAAUCCCCGGGCUCAACCUGGGAAUGGCAGUGGAUACUGGGAGGCUAGAGUGUGUCAGAGGGUGGUGGAAUUCCCGGUGUAGCGGUGAAAUGCGUAGAGAUCGGGAGGAACAUCAGUGGCGAAGGCGGCCACCUGGGACAACACUGACGCUGAGGCACGAAAGCGUGGGGAGCAAACAGGAUUAGAUACCCUGGUAGUCCACGCCCUAAAACGAUGCGAACUGGAUGCUGGUCUCAACUCGGAGAUCAGUGUCGAAGCUAACGCGUUAAGUUCGCCGCCUGGGGAGUACGGUCGCAAGACUGAAACUCAAAUGAAUUGAC
rnacentral:rRNA from 1 species